GUACAUAUUUGGCACAGCUGUCGAAAGGCAGUGUCGCAAAGCUAUAGGGGUUUCUCUUUUCCGUAAGUGAAAGAAAGCCAGCCAGUUGUUUGA
rnacentral:ncRNA from 2 species